AAUUUAGCGGCCGCGANUUCGCCCUUCAUGCAAGUCGAACGGAAAGGUCUCUUCGGAGACACUCGAGUGGCGAACGGGUGAGUAACACGUGGGUGAUCUGCCCUGCACUUCGGGAUAAGCCUGGGAAACUGGGUCUAAUACCGGAUAGGACCAUGAGAUGCAUGUCUUAUGGUGGAAAGCUUUUGCGGUGUGGGAUGGGCCCGCGGCUAUCAGCUUGUUGGUGGGGUCACGGCCUACCAAGGCUCCGACGGGUAGCCGGCCUGAGAGGGUGUCCGGCCACACUGGGACUGAGAUACGGCCCAGACUCCUACGGGAGGCAGCAGUGGGGAAUAUUGCACAAUGGGCGCAACCUGAUGCAGCGACGCCGCGUGGGGGAUGACGGCCUUCGGGUUGUAAACCUCUUUCACCAUCGACGAAGGUCCGGGUUUACUCGGAUUGACGGUAGGUGGAGAAGAAGCACCGGCCAACUACGUGCCAGCAGCCGCGGUAAUACGUAGGGUGCGAGCGUUGUCCGGAAUUA
rnacentral:rRNA from 1 species